rnacentral:rRNA from 1 species
CGAGAAUCUUGGGCAAUGCACGAAAGUGUGACCCAGCGACGCCGCGUGGAGGACGAAGGCCCUUGGGUCGUAAACUCCUUUUGCGAGAGAAGAAUGUCCUUUCGGGGAUUUGACGGUAUCUCGCGAAUAAGCCCCGGCUAACUCCGUGCCAGCAGCCGCGGUAAUACGGAGGGGGCUAGCGUUGUUCGGAAUUACUGGGCGUAAAGCGCACGUAGGCGGCUUUGUAAGUUAGAGGUGAAAGCCCGGGGCUCAACUCCGGAAUUGCCUUUAAGACUGCAUCGCUAGAAUUGUGGAGAGGUAAGUGGAAUUCCGAGUGUAGAGGUGAAAUUCGUAGAUAUUCGGAAGAACACCAGUGGCGAAGGCGGCUCACUGGCCCGGUACUGACGCUGAGGCACGAAGGCGUGGGGAGCAAAC